rnacentral:rRNA from 1 species
GACGAACGCUGGCGGCGUGCCUAAUACAUGCAAGUUGAGCGCUGAAGGUUGGUACUUGUACCAACUGGAUGAGCAGCGAACGGGUGAGUAACGCGUGGGGAAUCUGCCUUUGAGCGGGGGACAACAUUUGGAAACGAAUGCUAAUACCGCAUAAAAACUUUAAACACAAGUGUGAAGGUUGAAAGAUGCAAUUGCAUCACUCAAAGAUGAUCCCGCGUUGUAUUAGCUAGUUGGUGAGGUAAAGGCUCACCAAGGCGAGGAUACAUAGCCGACCUGAGAGGGUGAGCGGCCGCACUGGGACGGUGACACGGCCCAAACGCCUACGGGAGGCAGCAGUAGGGCAUCUUCGGCCAGAGACGAAAGUCUGACCGCGCAACGCCGCGUGAGGGUAGAGGGUUUUCGGAUCGUAAAACUCUGUCGGUAGAGAAGAACGUUGGUGAGAGUGGAAAGCUCAUCAAGUGACGGUAACUACUCAGAAAGGGACGGCUAACUACGUG